GUCACAACUUUGUGGACUUAAAAAAUGUACUGAAGGCGAAUGCUGUGUGGGAACUGUCAUAAUGGGAUAUUGUUUGAAAUCGCCAAAAGAAGGUGAACUGUGUGCAAUUCGAGCUAAUAUGAUGGAAGAAUUCUUUUGUGGACGAUGUGGGAAGAAAUUAAAAUGUAUUGCAGGAAAAUGCUUUAAGUCGCCUGAAAGUCGAAAUCUCUAGAAGUAAUAUGGCGCAUAACUCCCAAGAUUGAAUUUCAC